rnacentral:sRNA from 1 species
AAAGCACAGGAAUGGUGUUCAUUAUUGUUCCAUGUCUUUAGCUGUGGGGAAAAGGUCAGUGUGGCAGUUGUUUUCCAUAUGAAUUUUGGCCCAAGAGCCAAACUGAAGGUGAAAUGCCCCUUGGAGGACAGGAAGAUGAUGCCAGACCAGUUUGACCAGGCGGUUGUGCUGAACCAGCUGCGGUACUCAGGGAUGCUGGAGACUGUGAGAAUCCGCAAAGCUGGGUAUGCGGUCCGAAGACCCUUUCAGGACUUUUACAAAAGGUAUAAAGUGCUGAUGAGGAAUCUGGCUCUGCCCGAGGACGUCCGAGGGAAGUGCACGAGCCUGCUGCAGCUCUAUGAUGCCUCCAACAGCGAGUGGCAGCUGGGGAAGACCAAGGUACGAUGCGGAGAAAGAGCAACUCCCACCGAAUCCCUGACAGAUCUCGGGGUGAUGCUCACAGGGUUUAGGGCUCUAUGACACCACUGUACAAUUGUUCUUUCACAUUGGGAAGAUACUCCUGUUGCCAUGCCUACCAUAACCUUUUGUCUCCCAAACAGUUACUAUUUUAUUUGAAGUGAAGUCCUUGACUUGUCAGGGACU